rnacentral:rRNA from 1 species
AGUGAACGCUGGCGGUAGGCCUAACACAUGCAAGUCGAACGGCAGCACAGGAGAGCUUGCUCUCUGGGUGGCGAGUGGCGGACGGGUGAGGAAUACAUCGGAAUCUACUUUUUCGUGGGGGAUAACGUAGGGAAACUUACGCUAAUACCGCAUACGACCUCCGGGUGAAAGCAGGGGAUCUUCGGUCCUUGCGCGAUUGAAUGAGCCGAUGUCGGAUUAGCUAGUUGGCGGGGUAAAGGCCCAACAAGGCGACGAUCCGUAGCUGGUCUGAGCGGAUGAUCAGCCACACUGGAACUGAGACACGGUCCAGACUCCUACGGGAGGCAGCAGUGGGGAAUAUUGGACAAUGGGCGCAAGCCUGAUCCAGCCAUACCGCGUGGGUGAAGAAGGCCUUCGGGUUGUAAAGCCCUUUUGUUGGGAAAGAAAUCCAGCUGGUUAAUACCCGGUUGGGAUGACGGUACCCAAAGAAUAAGCACCGGCUAACUUCGUGCCAGCCGCCGCAGUAA